AUCGAGGCACCUGAUUGGCUCACGAGUUAACCCAGUCAUCGCCAUUCGGAGAGUGCGGCUGUUGUUGUUGCUGCUGCUGCUGCGUCAGCUGGUGACUGCAGUGCCCCCCCUAUAGUACAGUCUGCGCCCUUCUCUGCGGUGACCCCCACAUCCCAUUCAUUCUCUCAUUCAUUCCUUCUCAUCUUACACUUUCAAGGAAUCCAUAGAUUCGUCUGAUUCAUUAUUUAUGAGGUAGAUUCCAUGCCAAAUGAUCAAGUGAGAAUUAAGCUUCAACAUGUCAGUUGUGAGGAACUCAGGAGUGACAUUGCGUACAGUCAUCCAGCUCUCCAAAGAAACCAGUAAACAUGCAAAAGAUCAGAGCCGCCCACAUCUCAGCCCUCGUGUCUCUAUGAACCAAUCUGGAGUCAGGUGUGACUGUGAUGUGUAGGCAAAGACAGCCAGGAAUUAGCAUAGUUCCAGUUGACAGAAGGCACUGGUAAACAUGGCAUGGCUGCUGUGGCACUCGAUCUAACAUGUGCGGUGGCAGCUUGACCACCUUCCCAUGUUUCCUGUGUGACGAAACAAGGAUCAGUCAUGAUUAUCAUUUGUUUAUUGGACAACAAGUUACACCAGACAGCAAGUUAUCACCUCCGUCUAUUGAUAUAAAUAUUCAGUUAGAAAAACAAGCCUCCAGGUGUAUACGAACUUGACCAUAUUAUGAAGACGUCAAGUGUUAACCUAGAUGCACGUAGGCGAGGCAGCUGCUGGGCUUCAGCAGGUCGGGGCACAUACAGUGUCAGCUGUUGUUUUCCUCAAUAAAUAUUUUCUGUGUCACGUCUGUAGUCAGAGCUUCUACUUAUCAUGU